rnacentral:tRNA from 1 species
GGGCCUGUAGCUCAGCUGGGAGAGCGCCGCGUUCGCAACGCGGAGGCCAGCGGUUCGAUCCCGCUCAGGUCCACCA